rnacentral:lncRNA from 1 species
CAGGUAGUGCUGCUGGGCUGGGGAUUCUACAGGAAUGGUGGUAUGUCGGGUCUGAGGGCCAGGGUCAGGAGUUACCUCCCUACCCCAAUGUCCAACACAGUCCAGGUCUCUUGCAGCCCUUCCUGGGCGGUGGCCCAGGUCACAUACUCAAGCAUGGCUGCCUCAGGGACGGACCCUUUAGUCUGGUGAUAACUCCUCCCCCCUCUUUCCACAGAGGGUGGCUUGGCCUGAUCACAGCUGGGCAUGAGGCUGACAGAGCCUUCUUCCCGUGUAUUUUGUGAGUCAGCACCAUCAUGUUUUACAGACUUUGACCCUCUUAUAUGUGGUGAUUUUGAGGGAGCUGAGGACAUCUGGAUUUUCUCUAUUUUACAUAUUUAUUGUGCAUUUGUUGAGUGUGUCAAAAUAAUCAAAAUUGGUUUUAUUGCCCCCUGAGAAUUCUAUUUAAAAUAGGGCCACAAAGACUCAGCCUUAUAUCAGAUGGAGCCCACUUGGAAGGACCACCCUGAGCUUUAUCAGAAAUUUGCUGGGAGUCAAGUUACUUGGACUCAAUGAAGGCCACCUUGAAGCAAGAGUGAAAAAAGAAUAUCAUUCAGAAGCAGAAGUGGCCUGUACAGUCUGAUUGGUGUGGUGCACAGCCCUACAUCUCAUCAUGUACAGAUAGUGAGGAAGAGUUAUGAAGGGAAUGUGGUCAUCUACCAUGAAUGAAAGGCACCAGAGAAAUGGCCAGGACAUGAGACCACCUGGGAAACCUGUGUCUGCGUGAGACCAUGACAGGCCUAACUGAUGGCUGCUUCGCCCCACUUGCUGUUUUCCUGAUUUACCCAGAAUUGGUGUUGCAAGUUUCAAGACUGUUUCCUUCUCUGUGGAAGUGAGGAAGGAAAGCAUUAAAGGAGACUGGGCUGGUCCCAGGGAUGGGGGAGGGCAAGGACAGGGGCAGGAUGUCUGGGAUGAUCCCCAUGCUGGCCCAGGCCCACAGAGGGCCCACCUGCUUCCAACUCUUUCAUUCAUAACACACUUAAUGAGCUUUCAAAUCAUGACGAAAUUGACCUCAUUUGCAUCAAAUCAGUGCUUUUAAUAACUUGAUUUUGACAUGGUUCCCUCUAAGAGAAUGGUAGGGAUUAAAAUUAUUUGUAUAUGUUGAAAAUUGUAGGGGUUCAGGAACCCAUGGCAGAAAUACUAAACUAUUUAUUACAGGUUUGACUAUUUUUGUUUUUCUUUCUCAUAGUAGGCAAUUCUGUCUUUGUAUAUUUUAAGACAAAUAAUCACUUCACCUUUGGUGCCUUCCGUGUGUCACAUAAGCACUCUUGUCAAUCAUGGAAUUGGAAAAAAAGAUGUACAUUUAGUUAAAACAGAUAACACUAUUUUUGUAGCAUGUUACAGAUUGUGUCCUUUUAAUAUUGCUUUCAAAAAUGCUAGUCUUAUGGUUUGGGCCAUUUCCCUUUAAACUUCGUAUUUUCAAAAAGAAAACAAGCAACCACAAAACCCCCUGGCUACUCUCAUCUCUCUGUUGCAUUUGCCCCUACAUCUUGUUUCUGCUUAAAUAGUCUGAGAGUAAAAGUAUAUUUCUGUAAAAUAAGUAUGAGUCAAUAUAAUUGCAUUUGGCAUUGUUUAACCAUUUGCUCAGUUUGAAGAGCUGCCGCUCACCUUGAACAGUAAAAACUGUUCCAUAUUGAAAAAGGAGAGAAGACAGACUGCAUGGAUGCAUGGUGACCUCCCCAUUACUGGGUCUGAAAUUGUGGAAAGCCUGCAUCUGGCUCCUUGCCAUUCCCCUCUCGGGCCUUCAAGGUGUUGUCCAGCCUGGCAUCUUCCGGGAUUGGCUUAGUGCUCCCUGGUUUCUGGAGCACCACACCCUGUCUCCAGCUGUACCAUGUGUUUGGAUUUCGGAUGGGGUCAUGGAUGCUCAGGGGUGGGCUUGUGGCUCUGUCCAGGUUUUAGGCCUGAAUGCAGUAGGUGCUCUCCUGUGAAGGAGCAGGAUGAAACCAAGGCACAGGCAGACUUGAGCAGCUCCCUCUGCUUCUCCAACCCUGUGGUCAGAGGUGUGUCUGGUCAAGGAAAGUCUUGUGUAAACUAACUGAGCCAUUGUGGAAGGAAAGUACAAUUUACUGAAACAUGAAAUUGUAGCUUUUUUUUACCUUCUGAGGAGUCAACAUGUUAUUCUGUGAUAACAAAGGAAGUGCAGUCAGACAGCUAACUCAUAACUUUCUGAUCGGUUCACCCAUUGGUACUUUACCUAGUGGCAGUUUUAGGGGCAGUGUUAAUAAUUUGCCACACCUUGUUUCUGAAAAGUCUGUUUCUCGUGGCAGUUUAGACACAGCUGUGGGCAUUCCGAGGUGAUGGGUACCGGGCAAAUGUUGGCUCUUGUGGUUUGUGGGGCAGAACUCCCAUCCCUGGCCUCCCACACUGACAUGGAUGCUGUGCUGUGGGCCUCCCUCCCACUCUGACAGGCUCUCAGGUUUGACCCUGUACAUUUGGAAUGGGGACCCCGAAGUGUGCUCCUAUUGAUUUGUCCCUGACAGCAGACAAAGCCUCACACUGCCCUCAGUCUUCCCCUUUAUUUCUUUUGAAGGACCAAUUUUUCAUGGUACUUGUCUUGAUUGUUUUAAUAGCGUUCAAAUAUGUAUUUUUGUAUGUAGAGGGAAAUAAUUUUCUCAACACUAAUCGCUAAUAUUGUAUUGUCAUGAAGGAGUUCUUGUUUAAUAAAUGGAC